rnacentral:miRNA from 1 species
ACGAAAUAGUUUUAUCUGGUUAC